rfam:Cricetulus griseus cell line CHO-K1, whole genome shotgun sequence.
CCAGCUAGCUCAGUCAGUAGAGAAUGAGACUCUUAAUCUCAGAGUCGUGGGUUCAUGCCCCACACAGCUGGA